GAUGAACGCUGGCGGCGUGCCUAAUACAUGCAAGUCGAGCGAACAGACGAGGAGCUUGCUCCUCUGACGUUAGCGGCGGACGGGUGAGUAACACGUGGAUAACCUACCUAUAAGACUGGGAUAACUUCGGGAAACCGGAGCUAAUACCGGAUAAUAUCUUGAACCGCAUGGUUCACUAGUGAAAGCCGCUUUUGCUGUCACUUAUACAUGGAUCCGCGCCGCAGUAGCUAGUUGGUAAGGUAACGGCUUACCAAGGCAACGAUGCGUAGCCGACCUGAGAGGGUGAUCGGCCACACUGGAACUGAGACACGGUCCAGACUCCUACGGGAGGCAGCAGUAGGGAAUCUUCCGCAAUGGGCGAAAGCCUGACGGAGCAACGCCGCGUGAGUGAUGAAGGUCUUCGGAUCGUAAAACUCUGUUAUUAGGGAAGAACAAAUGUGUAAGUAACUAUGCACGUCUUGACGGUACCUAAUCAGAAAGCCACGGCUAACUACGUG
rnacentral:rRNA from 1 species